rnacentral:rRNA from 1 species
AUUAGAUGAGCCUAUAUUAGAUUAGCUAGUUGGUGGAGUAAUAGCCUACCAAGGCAAUGAUCUAUAGCUGAUCUGAGAGGAUGAUCAGCCACACUGGAACUGAGAUACGGUCCAGACUCCUACGGGAGGCAGCAGUGGGGAAUAUUGGACAAUGGGCGAAAGCCUGAUCCAGCCAUGCCGCAUGAGUGAAGAAGGCCUUUGGGUUGUGAAGCUCUUUUAGUGAGGAAGAUAAUGACGGUACUCACAGAAGAAGUCCUGGCUAACUCCGUGCCAGCAGCCGCGGUAAUACGGAGAGGGCUAGCGUUAUUCGGAAUUAUUGGGCGUAAAGGGCGCGUAGGCUGAUUAAUAAGUUAAAAGUGAAAUCCCGAGGCUUAACCUUGGAAUUGCUUUUAAAACUAUUAAUCUAGAGAUUGAAAGAGGAUAGAGGAAUUCCUGAUGUAGAGGUAAAAUUCGUAAAUAUUAGGAGGAACACCAGUGGCGAAGGCGUCUAUCUGGUUCAAAUCUGACGCUGAAGCGCGAAGGCGUGGGGAGCAAACAGGAUUAGAUACCCUGGUAGUCCACGCUGUAAACGAUGAAUGUUAAAUAUGGGAAG